GCCGGUUCCUGGCUAGGGCUUCACCCUCUGGCUUGUGCCCACGAACCUAGGUGAGGACAGGCACUCCUGCCUUUGGGCCCAAAUGUUGCAUUUUCCAAAACCACCCUGGCCCACCACACCCCCAUCCUGGGCGGAUAAAAACUGAGACCCUAGCAGGCAGAUAGAUACACAAGCGUCUGGACGUCCAGAGGAGGGGAUCAGCGGAAGAAGACACAAGCAGCCGGACAUCGAGAGGAUGUCGAGGGGAGCAUGCCAGUGGAAGAGCACAUGACAGACACUGGCAGGACAGCAGGCCAUUGACUGGAGGAACGAUGUGGAGUUUAGCGAGAUCAGGAGGAGGAGAGCACGGGCCGCUAAGCAGAGGGACCCCUGGUGCAUCUCCCAUCUGGCUCCCCCAUCUGCUGAGAACUACUUCUACUCAGUAAAACCUCGGACUCAUUCUCCAAGCCCUCGCGUGAUCUGGUUCUUCCGGUACACCACGGCAGGAAACCCUGGGAUACAGAAAUCCCUCCGUCCUUGUGGAUUUUAGAAUGCCAAGCUGACAUUUUGAGUUUUUAUGAGAAACCAGAAAAUUUGGUGUGAAGACCCUAAGUGGUGUGUCUGACUUACAGCAGGCCCACAGCAAAUACAUUGGAGACUUCUCAACUUUCUGCUUCUGAUGAUCUCAACUUGUGGUAUGGCAAAAGGAGAGCAAAAUGUUCACCCAGGGGUCUGAGUUUGGUUCAAGAGAGGAACUACAGCUGUUGGUGACUACAACCAUCUGCCCAGAUGACAUCGUGAUCAACUCCUCUGAAUCACUCUAAAGGAACGAGAAGUCCUGGCAGCUGAGUCAUGAUCCCCCAGGAGCCAUUAAGAAGUUAAUCUUCAGUCACUUCCAUCCAAACAGAAGAAAACCCAUGAAGGAUGAGAACUAUGGGUCCUGAGAAUGACAGAAGCAGAUCAAGAAACUGGCGAUUGAAGAGUAACUGAAAGAAACGCAAUCUGAUCUUACUAGCAGUGAAAGAGCGAGUCUCCCUCUGAUGCCGAGCAGAAGCUAGACUGUACUGCUGCCAUCUCAGCUCACUGCAACCUCCCUGCCUGAUUCUCCUGCCUCAGCCUGCUGAGUGCCUGCAAUUGCAGGCGCGCCGCCACGCCUGACUGGUUUUCGUAUUUUUUUGGUGGAGACGGGGAUUCGCUGUGUUGGCCGGGCUGGUCUCCAGCUCCUAACCGCGAGUGAUCCACCAGCCUCGGCCUCCUGAGGUGCCGGGAUUGCAGACGGAGUCUGGUUCACUCAGUGCUCAAUGGCGCCCAGACUGGAGUGCAGUGGCGUGAUCUCAGCUCGCUACAACCUCCACCUCCCAGCCGCCUCCCUUGGCCUCCCAAAGUGCAGAGAUUGCAGCCUCUGCCCGGCCGCCACCCCGCCUGGGAAGUGAGGAGCGUCUCUGCCUGGCCGCCCAUUGUCUGGGAUGUGAGGAGCCCCUCUGCCUGGCUGCCCAGUCUGGAAAGUGAGGAGUGUCUCUGCCUGGCCGCCAUCCCAUCUAGGAAGUGAGGAGCGCCUCUUCCCGGCCGCCAUCCCAUCUAGGAAGUGAGGAGCCUCUCUGCCCAGCCGCCCAUCGUCUGAGAUGUGGGGAGCGCCUCUGCCCCGCCGCCCCGUCUGGGAUGUGAGGAGCGCCUCUACCCCGCCGCGACCCCGUCUGGGAGGUGAGGAGCGUCUCUGCCCGGCGGCCCCGUCUGGGAAGUGAGGAGACCCUCCGCCCGGCAGCCGCCCCAUCUGAGAAGUGAGGAGCCCCUCUGCCCAGCAGCCACCCUGUCUGGGAAGUGAGGAGCGUCUCUGCCCAGCAGCCACCCCGUCUGGGAGGGAGGUGGGGGGUCAGCCCCCCGCCCGGCCAGCCGCCCCGUCCGGGAGGUGAGGGGCGCCUCUGCCCGGCGGCCCCUACUGGGAAGUGAGGAGCCCCUCUGCCCGGCCAGCCGCCCCGUCUGGGAAGUGAGGAGCGUCUCCGCCCAGCAGCCACCCCGUCCGGGAGGGAGGUGGGGGGAUCAGCCCCCCGCCCGGCCAGCCGCCCAGUCCGGGAGGGAGGUGGGGGGGUCAGCCCCCCGCCCGGCCAGCCGCCCCGUCCGGGAGGUGAGGGGUGCCUCUGCCCGGCCGCCCCUACUGGGAAGUGAGGAGCCCCUCUGCCCGGCCAGCCGCCCGGUCCGGGAGGGAGGUGGGGGGGUCAGCCCCCUGCCUGGCAAGCCGCCCCGUCUGGGAGGGAGGUGGGGGGAUCAGCCCCCCGCCGGGCCAGCCACCCCGUCCGGGAGGUGAGGGGUGCCUCUGCCCGGCCGCCCCUACUGGGAAGUGAGGAGCCCCUCUGCCCGGCCAGCCGCCCCAUCCGGGAGUGAGGUGGGGGGGUCAGCCCCCUGCCCGGCCAGCCGCCCCGUCCGGGAGGUGAGGGGCGCCUCUGCCCGGCCGCCCCUACUGGGAAGUGAGGAGCCCCUCUGCCCGGCCACCACCCCGUCUGGGAGGUGUACCCAACAGCUCAUUGAGAACGGGCCAUGAUGACAAUGGCGGUUUUGUGGAAUAGAAAGCGGGGAAAGGUGGGGAAAAGAUUGAGAAAUCGGAUGGUUGCCGUGUCUGUGUAGAAAGAGGUAGACAUGGGAGACUUUUCAUUUUGUUCUGUACUAAGAAAAAUUCUUAUCCUGUUGAUCUGUGACCUUACCCCCAACCCCGUGCUCUCUGAAACAUGUGCUGUGUCCACUCAGGGCUAAAUGGAUUAAGGGCGGUGCAAGAUGUGCUUUGUUAAACAGAUGCUUGAAGGCAGCAUGCUCGUUGAGAGUCAUCACCACUCCCUAAUCUCAAGUAACCAGGGACACAAACACUGUGGAAGGCCGCAGGGUCCUCUGCCUAGGAAAACCAGAGACCUUUGUUCACUUGUUUAUCUGCUGACCUUCCCUCCACUAUUGUCCUAUGACCCUGCCAAAUCCCCCUCUGCGAGAAACACCCAAGAAUGAUCAAUAAAAAAAUAAAAUAAAAUAAAAUAAAAUAAAAUAAAUAAAGUUUCAUGCGCAUCCGUGUGAAGAGACCACCAAACAGGCUUUGUGUGAGCAGCAUGGCUGUUUAUUUCACCUGGGUGCAGGCGGGCUGAGUCCGAAAAGAGAGUCAGCCAAGGG
rnacentral:lncRNA from 10 species